rnacentral:rRNA from 1 species
UACGUAGGUGGCGAGCGUUAUCCGGAUUUACUGGGUGUAAAGGGCGUGUAGGCGGCUCUGCAAGUCAGAUGUGAAAUUUCCGGGCUUAACCCGGACGGGUCAUCUGAAACUGCAGGACUUGAGUACUGGAGAGGAUAGCGGAAUUCCUAGUGUAGCGGUAAAAUGCGUAGAUAUUAGGAGGAACACCGGUGGCGAAGGCGGCUAUCUGGACUGCAACUGACGCUGAGGCGCGAAAGUGUGGGGAGCAAACAGGAUUAGAUACACCCGUAGU